rnacentral:rRNA from 1 species
CCUACGGGUGGCAGCAGUGAGGAAUAUUGGUCAAUGGACGAGAGUCUGAACCAGCCAAGUAGCGUGAAGGAUGACUGCCCUAUGGGUUGUAAACUUCUUUUAUAGGGGAAUAAAAUGUAGCAAGUGUGGGAUUUUGUAUGGACCAUAUGAAUAAGGAUCGGCUAACGCCGUGCCAGCAGCCGCGGUAAUACGGAGGAUCCGAGCGUUAUCCGGAGUUAUUGGGGUUAAAGGGAGCGUAGGUGGAUUGGUAAGUCAGUUGUGAAAGUUUGCGGCUCAACCGUAAAAUUGCAGUUGAAACUGGCAGUCUUGUGUACAGUAGAGGUGGGCGGCAUUCGUGGUGUAGCUGUGACAUGCUUAGAUAUCACG